CUUUUCCAUUCGUCUGAGGUCAUU
rnacentral:miRNA from 1 species